GCCUCAUCUUCCGGUGUGACUUUUGAUCCUAAUCAGAACGCAUCUGAUUCGAAACAUAUUCCAACUACGAAAACGACUACAGUUGUGAACUCGACACUU
ensembl:ncRNA F48A11.10 ncRNA